UACGGAGGGUGCAAGCGUUGCUCGGAAUUAUUGGGCGUAAAGGGUAAGUAGGUGGUCUCAUUUGUCUGGGGUGAAAGCCUUGAGCUUAACUCAAGAAGUGCCCUAGAAACGGUGAGACUAGAGUCCUGGAGAGGUUAGUGGAAUUCCCGGUGUAGCGGUGAAAUGCGUAGAGAUCGGGAGGAACACCAGAGGCGAAAGCGGCUAACUGGACAGGUACUGACACUCAACUACGAAAGCGUGGGGAGCAAACAGG
rnacentral:rRNA from 1 species